GUGUUAGGACGUUCGAUUUUGGCCCUCAACAAAAACUAAUAAUACUCAUUACUAACACUAGUAGAAAAAUGACUUUUGGAUAAGGGAUUCCACUACUGGUAUGUGAAUACCAGUAGUGAAACACAUUUAACCAAAGGAUUCCACUACUGAUAUUUGAAUACCAGUAGUGAAAAGUUCAUAGACAAGGGAUUUCACUACUGGUUUUCUUAAAUCAGUAGUGAAAAGUAGACACGGUGGCAAUGUUGUAAUUACGUUGAAAUUUGUUUUAAUUAGAUUUCACUACUGAUUUAGUUUUACACGGUAGUUAAAUUUGUUUCCACAUACUAGAAGGGUUCCUCGAUCUGUACCACACACAUAUACUACGCGCUAACACAAAUCACCUUCUUCUUCUUCUUCUUCGAAAUAACCCUAAAUCGAUUGAAACCCCAAAUCACGUUCCCCAAAUCGUUCCUCAAAUCGUUCUUCUUCUUCGAAACGUUCUCCUUGAAACCGGCCAACCUCAAAUCGUUCCUCAAAUCGUUCUUCUUGAAACCGGCCAACCUCAAAUCGUUCCCCAAUUCGUGUUCGCAGGGUUUAUGAAAUUUGAAGAAUGGAGGAAACAAUAUGGUAUGUUAAUUAUAUAUAUGAAGAAUGGAGGAAACAAUAUGGUAUGUUAAUUAUAUAUAUAUGAUGCAAUUGAUGUUCAUUUGUUGAAGAAUCAAGAGAAGGUGAAUCAAUUCUUCUUCGUUAUUGAUUUUAUUUUAUUUUAUUUUUCUCAUAGCUAAAAUCAAAAUUAUUAUUUGCUUUUAGAUCCUUUGACGAUGGAUAAUAACCCUGAUAAAAAAUUUAGUCUCCUCUUACUGCACCAUUGAAGUGGUAAGCUCUUUAAAUUUCCAUUAUAAUCAAUCAAUAUUCUAUGCAUGAGAUAGAUUUGUUAAAGACAACAACUCCCAUUAAUUUGUUCAGUAAGACAUAAAUUUCACUCCAGUUGUAGAAACUUGAUGUCUCUCUUGCUUGGCAGAUGCAUUUUGCACUUAGUGCUACUUUCUUUGCGGGAAUUACUCAAUUUGCACUUAGACUUUUAAAGGUCUUUUUGGCAUCAAAGUAAGAUUUAAUAUUAGUGAAAGUAACUAAUGAUAUAAUGAUUAUGUGUCAUGAUAUAAUGAUAUAAUUAUUAGUGAAAGUAACUAAUGAUAUAAUGAUAUAUUAGUGAACGUUUUUGCAUUUGUAUCACUGUGUUUGUGAGCUGUUACCGACCCGUCAUUAUAUCAUUAGUUAAAUUUACUUUGAAAUUGAAUGACCCUUUUUUGCUUAUGGCUGGUAUUAGCAGAGUGAAAUUGAACCUUACUCAUUUAUGGAUAUGGUAUAUAAUGGUUUAUAUCUUUUAAAUUAGGCCUGAAAAAAUUCUAUCAUUAUUAUUUACAUGUAUUAUUUGGUUACUGAUUAGAUUAGAUGGUUUUGUCAACUAAUUUAUUCAUUUUUUAUGCCCACUUUAUAACUAACUAUACCAUUGUACUUAGUUUGAUACUCGGUUCCUUUUCUGUAGUGUUGAGUUAGUUCUAUACCCAAUUCUUGUUGUUACCUUUUGUUUCGGAAAUUUUUAUUAUUCAUAUUCAAGCAUAUAUACUGAGUAUUUAUUCAUAUUGGAUGUUUUCUGCAAUCCCAGGUAAGUAACUAAAUGCAUAACCUUAUGUUUAGAUUGUUAUCUGGUUCAUAUUGGAUGUAGAGUAAUGCACAAAUUUACUCCACUGCUUAUUGCUAUCUGGUUCUAUUUUUGCAUUUGCUAGCAUAGCAUAUUAGCAUCAAAUUUUGGCCUCAUGUGUCUAAGUGGUUGAUAAGUAAAGUGGGCAUUUGUGUAGUUAACUACCAUGACAUUUGUGUAUAUUGUUUGAAUUUAAUUUAGAAAGAAGUGAAAAGAAGAUAAACUAACAAAAGCACAAAUUAGCUUUAAUUAUCUAUUCACCUCUUUGUUUGUAUGAUUCCCCUGUUAGCCAGUAUAUGUAGGGAUCAUUCUUUACUUUUGUAACACCCUGCAUAAAAAGGCUAUAGAAUGUACCAUAAACAUGCAAAAGUUUAUGCUUUUCUUACAGGUUAAUGUUGUUUGUAUGAACAGGUUAGUGAUGCUAGCUAGUGCCUAAUCUAGUAAUGUAAACUUUUAUAAGUUUCUGGUUCCAGGCUAUGGCUUUUCAAGUUGACAACUUGAUGCAGCUUUUGAGAAUAUGAAGCUUUUGAGAAUAUGAAGCAUGUAGGAAUUCAGCCCAAGAAAUGUUGAGUUAGAGCAUUGAGGGGUAACUAUUACUUCAAGUUACUAGAUUCUCAUUCCUUGCAUCAACAAAACAGAUUGUGAGCAGCACAAACAAUGAAGACAAGGUUAUAGUCUUUGAACGUGGGGAUCUGGUGUUUGUGUUCAAUUUUCAUCCAGAGAAUACAUAUGAAGGGUGAUUGCUGCAUCUGGAGCUGUAAAGCAUGAAGCUUUUGUUGAGGAAGUGAAAAAAUUGUUUACUAAGUUGUCAACUAAUCCCUCCACAGCAUCUCAGUUGGUCGAAAAAGAACCAGCAGUUUUCACUGGUUCCGAGGUUCGAAUGCUCGAUGAUGAUAUUCCCCUUGCACAAUUUGCAGUAGCUUUUGAAGGUGCUUCUUGGAAGGAUCCAGAUUCAAUUCCUCUGAUGAUUAUGCAAGCAAUGCUGGGUUCAUGGCACAAGACAGCCGGAGGUGGAAAACAUAUGGGGUAUGCCACUUGUCCAAAAUGAACCUGACAAUGCAUUUUUGCUUAUGCUUUAUAUUAAGAAGCUUUGGCUGUAUUCAUUGUCCAAAAUGAAAUCAGAGUUAAAUUUGUUUUGGCUCGUGAUUAGUUUAUUUUUUUGCAAUGAUGCCCAUGAUUAGUUUAGCAUAUUACAAUACCUGUAAUUGUACAUCGAUGAACUUAUAUAUAACCUGUAUUCAUUACUCCCUCAAUCUAAUUCUUUGAGAUA